rnacentral:rRNA from 1 species
CCUACGGGAGGCAGCAGUGAGGAAUAUUGGUCAAUGGGCUUACGCCUGAACCAGCCAAGUCGCGUGAGGGAAGACUGCCCUAUGGGUUGUAAACCUCUUUUGUCAGGGAGCAACGCCGGCUACGUGUAGCCGGACUGAGAGUACCUGAAGAAAAAGCAUCGGCUAACUCCGUGCCAGCAGCCGCGGUAAUACGGAGGAUGCGAGCGUUAUCCGGAUUUAUUGGGUUUAAAGGGUGCGUAGGCGGAAUGCCAAGUCAGCGGUAAAAUCGCGGGGCUCAACCUCGCUCCGCCGUUGAAACUGGCGUUCUUGAGUGGGCGAGAAGUAUGCGGAAUGCGUGGUGUAGCGGUGAAAUGCAUAGAUAUCACGCAGAACUCCGAUUGCGAAGGCAGCAUACCGGCGCCCGACUGACGCUGAAGCACGAAAGCGUGGGGAUCGAACAGGAUUAGAUACCCCAGUAGUC